UAUGCUUGGGAUUUGAUCUGAUUUUAAAAAGUACUAUUAGAAUGUUGCAAUUCACAAAUCAGCAGUGAGGUUUUUGCUGUUGUAAAAGCACAUACAUGUGGGAAAGCUACUUCUGUGUCAUUACCAGGCACUAGGAAGUCUGCAUUUUUAAUUCUAGGUCAGUGUUCCUCAACCUUGGGGCGGCUUGAAGAUGUGGAAUUCUGGGAGUUGAAGUCCACACAUCUUCAAGCCGCCCCAAGGUUGAGAAACACUAUUUUAGGUAUGAUAAAACAUUCGAUCCCUCUCUGGGUUCUGGAAGACUCAAGAACUCUGGGGAACUAUUCCUAGCAGGUUAAACACAGGGUAAAGACCAUGAUGUAAACUCGUGCCAGACACCCAUCCUAUGCUAAAUGUCCAUGUGCUCAACUCCUCAUGAGGGGUGGGGUGGGAAUAACCCUUAGUCGUUGCCCAUCAUCCCCAUCACAGAGCUAGGCCACAGAAUCAAGGAAGGGAAGAAGCCACAGAUCAGCCAGUCUUGGGAACACACCCAGCCUUCCCCUGCACGUUUAGCCUUUAUGGUCCCACGGAUGGGAUGGCAAAGCAAGACAAUGCUUUUCCAUCUCUUCAGCAGCCCAGGGGUCCUCCCCGUUCCCAUGCCAGCUCCCAGUGGCGUAGCCCCUUUCCCUUCACCAACACUGGCUGUCCUGCCUGCUUUGCUCCGUAGGCUCCAGGUGCCCAAACUGGCCCACCCGGGUUGAGUUGGAGAUGCUGCCUCAACCCACGCUGCCCCAUUCCGGGGAAUAAUUGCUUUGCGUCCAGGGCCCCUGCUCCAGUGACACUGAGGCCACUGGGAAAGUCUGCCAGCCUUCCCCAAUUAUGCGCCUGUCCUGCUGUAGAAGGAUUUGAUCAGUGUGUUUAAAGUUAGCCACCAAAAUGGGUCCUGGCACCUUUAGGGUUGGUUCAUGCUCACCCCAGCACCACUUGAUGCGUACCAUCCCCCCAUUUCUGCUUCCAGCUGUGGAUUCGUUGAAGCCACAGUUUUCGGUUAGCGUCCACAAGACACGGCUGGACCGGUUGGGGCGCUGGCGUGAAUCAGGUUUGCAAAUUAGGAUGGCCUCCACCACAAAAACGGGCGUCAACGGCACCGCGGUGGGGCAAGAGGGGGACCCAGUUGGGGACUUCUGGGUCUUACGCUCAAUCCCCUGAUUUAACUAUUUCACAAGGUUGUCUAGUGUAGCGAGAUGAAACUGCUUUGCAAAAAUAUUUAUGCUGGGAACUCAUGGGAGGGUAUUUAUACAUUAAAAACGAAGGAAAGAAAAUAAAAUUGUCACGCAGGUU